rnacentral:rRNA from 1 species
GCGCCUUCCGGCGUCCGAGUUGUAAUCUCGAGAAGUGUUUUCCGUGAUAGACCGCAUACAAGUCUCUUGGAACAGAGCGUCAUAGUGGUGAGAACCCAGUACACGAUGCGGAUGCCUAUUACUUUGUGAUACACUUUCGAAGAGUCGAGUUGUUUGGGAAUGCAGCUCAAAUUGGGUGGUAAAUUCCAUCUAAAGCUAAAUAUUGGCGAGAGACCGAUAGCGAACAAGUACCGUGAGGGAAAGAUGAAAAGCACUUUGGAAAGAGAGUUAACAGUACGUGAAAUUGUUGGAAGGGAAACACAUGCAGUGAUACUUGCUAUUCGGGGCAACUCGAUUGGCAGGCCCGCAUCAUUUUUUCGGGGCGGAAAAUCAUAGAGAGAAGGUAGCAGUCUCGGCUGUGUUAUAGCUCUUUAUUGGAUUCGCCCUGGGGGACUGAGGAACGCAGCGUGCUUUUUGCAUGAGCUUCGGCUUAUCCACGCUUAGGAUGCGGGUUUAUGGCUGUAUAUGACC